AUUACCAAAUUAACCGCUAACAAACAAAGCAAUCUUUCAGGGAGAGAAACUUUAGUCUCAGUAUGAUCACUGUGUCAUUAACCCACUUCCUGCUUCUUUGCUUGGUUGUUGUAGCAGCAGCAGCAGCAAGCAACAAUAUUACCACAGACCAACAAGCUCUUCUUGCCCUGAAAGAUCAUAUAAUUUAUGAUCCGACCAACCUUUUAGCCCAUAAUUGGACCUCGAAUACAUCUGUUUGUACCUGGAUUGGCAUCACUUGUGAUGUCAAUAGCCAUAGAGUCGCAGCCUUAGAUAUUUCUCAAUUCAAUCUACAAGGCACCAUCCCUCCUCAACUUGGAAACCUCUCUUCACUCACAACGCUUAAUCUUAGUCAUAACAAGCUUUCUGGAAACGUUCCCUCCUCCAUCUACACAAUGCAUACGCUAAAAUUUCUUGACUUCACUGAUAACCAGCUCUCUGGUUCGGUGUCUUCCUUCGUCUUCAACAUGUCUUCAAUAGUAGAAAUUCGUUUGACCAAUAACAGAUUUUCUGGUGAGCUUCCGAAAAAUAUUUGCAACUAUCUUCCUCAUUUGAAAGCCCUUUUUUUGGACAAAAACAUGUUUCAUAGCAAAAUUCCUUCUGCUUUAUCAAAGUGCAAACAACUGCAACAAUUAAAUUUGCAGUUCAAUAAUUUAUCCGGUGCAAUACCAAAAGAAAUCGGCAACUUGACUAUGCUCAAAGGGAUAUCUCUAUUAUGCAACAAACUCCACGGUAUGUUCAUAAUACUAUGUAAAUAUUUUAAUUUCUCACUUGUUAUUUUUCUUGAAUACUUUAGAUAAGAUCUUGUAACAGAGAUUUUUUUGCAUCUAUGUUAAUUUGCCAGGUGAGAUACCCCACGAAAUCGCUAAUCUUCGAAAUCUAGAGGGUUUAGUGCUUGGAAUGAACAACCUAGUUGGUGUGUUACCAGCUCCAAUCUUCAACAUGUCAACACUGAAGGUACUUAUCCUCAUGGAUAACUCUCUCAGUGGAAGUCUACCAUCAAGAAUAGACCUUUCACUUCCAACUGUUGAGUUUCUUGAGUUGGCACAUAAUAGAUUUUCUGGAACCAUUCCUAGUUCCAUCACCAAUGCUUCUAAGCUCACCGUUCUAGCGUUGGGAGAGAACACAUUUUCGGGCUUCAUUCCAAACACAAUUGGUAAUUUAAAAAACCUUGAGUGGCUCAGCUUGGAGAAUAAUUACUUGAAAUCUUCAACCUCAAAAUUGAGCUUUCUUUCCUCUUUGGCAAAUUGCAAGAAAUUAAGAUUCUUAAACUUAGGAGGCAAUCCACUCGACGGUAUCCUUCCAAGUUCAAUAGGUAAUCUUUCUAAGUCUUUGGAAACACUUGUCAUCGCCAAUUGCAGUAUUAGUGGCAACAUUCCGGAAGCAAUUAGCAAUUUAAGCAACUUGUUGACCUUAGUAUUAGAACGCAAUAAAUUGACUGGACCAAUUCCAAUUACAUUCGGCCCACUACAGAAACUCCAAGGCUUAUAUCUUGCAUUCAAUAUGUUGGUAGGUUCAUUCCCAGAUGAGCUUUGCCAUCUAGGUAGGCUGAAUGAAUUGGUCUUAUUUGGCAAUAAGCUUUCAGGAUCUAUACCUUCAUGCUUAAGUAACCUCACUUCUCUGAAAUCUCUCUACUUAGGGUCCAAUAGGUUUACUUCUGUUAUUCCCUCAACCUUCUGGAGCCUAAAAUACAUCUUGUUCUUUGACUUUUCAUCAAAUUUCUUGGUGGGUCCUCUUUCUUCAGACAUAGGUAAUUUGAAGGUGCUUCUAGGAAUAAAUUUAUCAGAAAAUAACUUAUCGGGUGAUAUGCCAGCCACAAUUGGAGGACUAAAAAACCUUCAAAUUAUGGACCUAGCAUAUAAUAGAUUGGAAGGCCCAAUUCCUGAAUCAUUUGGUGACUUGACAAGUUUGGAGGUUUUGAAUUUGUCAAAUAAUAAAAUCUCCGGGUCUAUUCCAAAAUCCUUGGGGAAACUCUUUUACCUCCGAGAGUUAAAUCUCUCUUUCAAUGAACUAGAAGGUGAGAUUCCUAGUGGAGGAAUUUUUGCCAACUUCACAGCUGAGUCAUUUAUGGGAAAUGAGUUAUUGUGUGGUUUACCAAAUCUUCAAGUCCAACCAUGCAAAGUUAGCAAGCCGAGGACAGAACAUAAAUCAAGGAAAAAGAUACUUCUCAUUGUGAUUGUUUUGCCAUUGAGUAUUGCUCUAACGAUAGCAAUCACUCUAGCUCUCCAAUCUAAGCUGAUCGAAUGUGGAAAAAGAAGCACGGUGUUAUCAAAUGAUAGUAUCUUGUCAUCACAAGCAACACUAAGAAGAUUUUCAUACUUAGAACUUUUACGAGCAACAGAUAAUUUUGCUGAAAACAGCAUAAUUGGCAGAGGAGGUUUUGGUUCCGUUUAUGGAGCAAGACUUGAAGAUGGGAUGAAGAUUGCAAUAAAAGUGUUUCACCAGCAAUGUGCAAGCGCAUUGAAGAGUUUUGAGGCUGAAUGUGAAGUGUUAAAAAAUAUUCGCCAUCGAAACCUUAUCAAAGUUAUCAGCAGUUGCUCGAACGAUGACUUCAAAGCAUUAGUCCUAGAAUACAUGUCCAACGGGAGCUUGGGGGAUUGGUUGCAUUCGAGCAAUUACGUGCUGAAUAUUUUUCGAAGGUUGAACAUAAUGAUUGACUUUGCAUCAGCUUUAGAAUAUCUCCACUUCGAUCAUUCAACUCCUGUUAUUCAUUGUGACUUAAAGCCUAGUAAUGUAUUGUUGGACGAAAAUAUGGUUGCUCAUUUGAGUGAUUUUGGCAUAGCAAAGCUUUUAAGUGGAGAAGAUGAGUCUACGAUGCGAACAAAAACCCUUGCCACUAUAGGUUAUAUGGCACCAGGUUUGCUUCAAACAACUUUUUUUGUUGGUGCAUGUACCCUCCCUUUAAAAAAUAUAUAAUAAUUAAUACUUAAUAUAUUAUUAAAUACGAAAAUAUCAAUAUUUGACUACACAAAUUUAUGUCAUUAGGUCCUUAAAAUUUAAAAUUGAAGACACAAAAUGAAAUAUAUAUAUAAAUUUCAUUCUCAUAGGAAAUGAUCCUCUUAUAAUCUUAAAAUAUUUGAGCUUUGAAAGAUUUUUUAAAACAAAUGUACUUUUAUUUUUGUACAAUCAAUAUUUACUUAUUUAUUAUAUUUUUAUUCAUUAACUAUCAAUCAUGUGAGUAUAUUUACUCAGAAAUAUCAUAUCAAGGAAGAAUCUUGAUCCCACGCACACGCAAAUAUGUUAAUUUCUAUACGCUUCACUUACCUGUAGAAUCAAUUAUCUAAAAUGCAAGUUUGUGGCCACAAAAAAGGCCAAAGAAAGAAGAUAAUAACAAUUGACUUGUAUAUUAUACUCAUACAAUCCACUCGACAUAAUGAUAUCAUUUUAAUAAGGCAAUGGCUGAUGAUCUCCAUGACUCCAUUGAAAAACUAAUUCAAUUUUUUUUGCUUCAUUUAACUUUUUGGUUGUUGAAAAUAACCUUAAUUAUCAAAUAAUUGGAGAAAGAGUAAAGAACAUUUAAAAAAUUUAUGAGCAAAAAAAAAAGGAGAAGUUGAAGAGAAAGGGUGCUUGCAGAAGUGGGUGUCAAAGAAAAAUCAGUCCAUAAGAAUUAUUGCGGUUAUUUUUUGGCAAUAUAAAUUUUUUAUAGCAAGUAAAAAUUAAUUUUUUUCCGAUUUACUAAAAAAUUAACUAAAAACUUCUGCGACAACAUUUUUUAUGGGUGCAUAUAGCCUCCCUUUAAAAAAAUAAUAAUAAUUAAUGCUUAAUAUAGUAUUAAAUACGAAAAUGUCAAUAUUUGAUUACUCAAAUUUAUAUCAUUAGGUCCUUAAAAUUUAAAAUUAAAGAUACGAAAGGAAAUAUAUAUAAAUUUCAUUCUCAUGGAAAGGAUUCUCUUAUAAUUUUAUAAUAUUUGAGUUUUGAAAUUUUUUUGAAACAAAUGUAAUUUUAUUUGUGUACAAUCAAUAUUUACUCAUUUAUUAUAUUUUAAUUUAUUUAUUAUAUUUAGUCGGAAAAAUUAUAUCAAGAGAGAAUCCUAAUUUCACGCAAACACAAAUACAAGACAAAUAUGUUAAUUUCUAUACUAUUCACUUUCCUGUAGAAUCAAUUAUCUAAAAUGCAAGUUUGUGGCUACAGAAAACUCGCCAAAGAAAGAAGAUAAUAACAAUUGAGCAUUGAUAGCAAAACUAAUGCAUCAUUUUCUUCUUGACUUGAUGAGAUGGCGCCAUCACAAAAAAACAAGUACCUUAAUUGACGGGCACUGAGUGAUGUGAAUACUACCAGCCAGUUCAUCUCUUCCAGUCUUGCUUAAUCACAAUCACAAACACCUCGAGAUCGACAUUUGCAUUAUAUAUAUGUUCAGCAAUCGAAACACCUUGCAUUACCAAAUAAACCAGUAACAAACAAAGCAAUCUUUCAUGGAGAGAAACUUUAGUCUCAGUAUGAUCACUGUGUCAUUAACCCACUGCCUGCUUCUUUGCUUGGUUGUUGCAGCAGCAGCAGCAGCAGCAGCAAGCAACAAUAUUACCACAGACCAACAAGCUCUUCUUGCCCUGAAAGAUCAUAUAAUUUAUGAUCCGACCAACCUUUUAGCCCAUAAUUGGACCUCGAAUACCUCUGUUUGUACCUGGAUUGGCAUCACUUGUGAUGUCAAUAGCCAUAGAGUCACAGCCUUAGAUAUUUCUCAAUUCAAUCUACAAGGCACCAUCCCUCCUCAACUUGGAAACCUCUCUUCACUCACAACACUUAAUCUUAGUCAUAACAAGCUUUCUGGAAGCGUUCCCUCCUCCAUCUACACCAUGCAUAGGCUAAAAUUUCUUGACUUCACUGAUAACCAGCUCUCUGGUUCGGUGUCUUCCUUCGUCUUCAACAUGUCUUCAAUAUUAGACAUUCGUUUGACCAAUAACAGACUUUCUGGUGAGCUUCCGAAAAAUAUUUGCAACUAUCUUCCUCAUUUGAAAGCCCUUUUUUUGGACAAAAACAUGUUUCAUAGCAAAAUUCCUUCUGCUUUAUCAAAGUGCAAACAACUGCAACAAUUAAAUUUGCAGUUCAAUAAUUUAUCCGGUGCAAUACCAAAAGAAAUCGGCAACUUGACUAGGCUCAAAGGGAUAUAUCUCGGCGCCAACAAACUCC
rnacentral:lncRNA from 1 species